rnacentral:rRNA from 1 species
AUGAUCUUUGUUUUCUCUUUCUUUUUAUUUUUAUUUGUUUCGAGAAAGAUAUCGUCUGAUUCUCCUUCUAUUGAUUCUUUCCGAUCAAGAUGUACGGAUCCAUGUGUCUACAUACAUAGAUUUUAUUCAUGGAUUAAUACAAACGUGCAAGAGUUCUAUUUGCCUCUACCAUUCUAUGAGUCGCUUCCUUUUUUCGUAUGGCACUCUCACUCCCUUUGGCAGCAUCUACUAAUCCGGAACUUAAUUUAA